AGUGAACGCUGGCGGCGUGCCUAAUACAUGCAAGUCGAACGAAGUGGCGCACGGGUGAGUAAUAUAUAGUUAAUCUGCCCUACACAGAGGAACAACAGUUGGAAACGGCUGCUAAUACCUCAUAGUGUAGUAUGUGACUAUAUCGUAUCAGCUAGUUGGUAAGGUAAUUGCUUACCAAGGCGAUGACGCGUAACUGGUCUGAGAGGAUGAUCAGUAACAUUGGAACUGAGACACGGUCCAAACUCCUACGGGAGGGAGCAGUAAGGAAUAUGGCGCAAUGGGGGAAACCCUGACGGAGCAACGCCGCGUGGAGGAUGACACUUUUCGGAGAGUAAAAUCCUUUUAUCAGGAAAGCGGUACCUGAAGAAUAAGCACCGGCUAACUCCGUGCCAGCCGCCGCGGUAAUUC
rnacentral:rRNA from 1 species